AGGGGUGUGCCUUCAAUGUCCACUUUUUCCUCUUCUUGCUGGUGGGAAUGUGAACAGAGUGGAGCCACCACGGACCUCACAACCAAAGGUGUGUCUUGGAGGUGGAGGUGUUGCUGCCAAGUUCAGAAUGUCUGCUCCAGGAACCCAGCCAGCGGGUCCCACAGACAACCGAACACUCGCGCUGGCCAGUAUGCUCAAAGAAGUGUCCGGCUGGAUGACUUCGCUGCUCCUCCCAUUAAAAGGUACAGCCCACUCCCCCACUCCUUGAUCUGUGACUUGCUUUGACCACUAGAAAGCAGAAGUGGCAUUAUGUGACUUCAGGGCUAGACCUCAAGGGGCCUCCUACAAACACAGUCACGUGAGAAGCCCAGGCCAGCAUGCUGGGCAAUGCAUGGCGGCCCAGCCAGCAGCCAGCCCUGGGAUCAAGCCCUCGCCAGCCAUGAGGAUGAAGCCAUCCUAGGCCGUCUAGCUUCAGCUCAGCCCCUGGACAACUGCAGCCACAUGAGGUGAGGCCAGCAGGAGGGCUGCCCAGCUCAGCCCGGCCCACAUUUCUGACUCACAGAAAAUAAAAUGCGAGCAAAUAA